GUCCAGUUUUGGCAUCAUCACGGAGCAUUAAUCAGCCAGUGGAAAACAGAGAGAAGCAGGAUUUAUCUGUCAGACAAAAUGAGAGGAAAGGAUGCUAACCCUGAAACUGCAGCCAGGUGCAGCUCUACGCAACUGCAGAGUUUCAGAUGGCAUUUGCCCCAAUGGAUGCCAAGUAGACGUGAUAAAGCAGAAAGUGGAUACAGGAGUCUGUCCUUCGGCGUUCUCCUCCCCACACUGCAUGGAGUCCUAGGAAGUCUUUCGAAGAAAGGGUCUACUGAAGGGUAUGCUAAGAAUCCUGGGUGGGAGAAUCAUUGCUGCCCACGGAUUGACCAGCUUUUUGGGGCUUGAACAGUGUUUGCUAAAGAAUAUUGACAGGCUGGAUUGUUGCUGAUUGCACCUGACUCAAAGUUCCCUUUGUUUUGCCUGGAAUAUGUUGCAGUUGUUUUCUGGAAGCGUUUUGUGAUCGGAGUCGGGCAAAAUGCUUAUUUGCAGGUAGGUUUAGUGGAUGAGAGGGAAGAACAAUGAACAUGCAGGCAUUAUGUAUGUGCCAUGAAUUUAAGUCGUUGAUAGACAUCAACUAUGACAAUACUGUGCCACAGAUUUCUUCAUUUUCAGCAGCUGAGGUUCAGAGACAUGAAUUAUACUUGAUUGCACAAUAUCUUCUCACAGAAAUUGUAAGGAGAAUGGCAUGCCCUAACAGGGCUUAUUUACACGGAACACCCUAGUUCACUGUUUCCCCUCUGGCUUUUCUUAAACAAGCAAUUUAUUCUCAACAGUUUUAAAUUUAAAAUCAAUAUUUCUAAUAAAAUAGUUUUACACUUUUCAUCUUUAUGUAUGGACAUGUAUGGGAAGAGAAUCCAAAUGAGUUUAAGCAAUAAAGACAAGGCUAUCAAUAAACACAUUCUAGAGAAGUCCAUGA
rnacentral:lncRNA from 1 species